rnacentral:rRNA from 1 species
AUUGAACGCUGGCGGCAUGCCUUACACAUGCAAGUCGAACGGUAACAGGGAGCUUGCUCCGCUGACGAGUGGCGAACGGGUGAGUAAUGCGUCGGAACGUGCCGAGUAGUGGGGGAUAACGCAGCGAAAGUUGUGCUAAUACCGCAUACGUACUAAGGUAGAAAGUGGGGGACCUUCGGGCCUCACGCUAUUCGAGCGGCCGACGUCUGAUUAGCUAGUAGGUGAGGUAAAGGCUCACCUAGGCGACGAUCAGUAGCGGGUCUGAGAGGAUGAGCCGCCACACUGGGACUGGGACACGGCCCAGACUCCUACGGGAGGCAGCAGUGGGGAAUUUUGGACAAUGGGCGAAAGCCUGAUCCAGCCAUGCCGCGUGUCUGAAGAAGGCCUUCGGGUUGUAAAGGACUUUUGUCGGGGAGGAAAUCCCCAGCGCUAAUACCGCUGGGGGAUGACAGUACCUGAAGAAUAAGCACCGGCUAACUACGUGCCAGCCGCCGCGGUAAAAC